UACGUAGGCGGCAAGCGUUGUCCGGAAUUAUUGGGCGUAAAGGGAGCGCAGGCGGGAAACUAAGCGGAUCUUAAAAGUGCGGGGCUCAACCCCGUGAUGGGGUCCGAACUGGUUUUCUUGAGUGCAGGAGAGGAAAGCGGAAUUCCCAGUGUAGCGGUGAAAUGCGUAGAUAUUGGGAAGAACACCAGUGGCGAAGGCGGCUUUCUGGACUGUAACUGACGCUGAGGCUCGAAAGCUAGGGUAGCGAACGGGAUUAGAAACCCGUCCGGCUGACUGACU
rnacentral:rRNA from 1 species